CUUCUUUAUCAAAGUUAUGGACUCGCGUCAGUUACAUGCACGUUUAUACAUUUAAAUAUAGAUAAUUAAAAUACAAAUUGUGAAAAGUUAUCCCCUAGAGGCAAGAUACCAUACAACUGGAAGGGGAAGGAGAAAGUAUUAGUUUUACUUUAGAUACACAGGUAAUACAUAGACAGUUAAAAUGAAUAGAUAUCAUUUUUGUAAGUUGAUUGAAACGGCAUCAAAUACAAAGGAAAAAACAGAAAGGUCAAAAUAAGUUUUUAGCAAAUUAUAAGAGACUCAAAAUUAUUAGGAUCUCUGUACCUUGAUUUACGAAUUUAUAAAAGGAGGGGAUUGAGUUCAGUGAUUUAUAUAAUUCCUUCCUUCUCUAGAAUUCUCAGAAGGCGGCGAACGUCCUGUUCUCGAAAAAUGUACAACAGAUAUGAUAGAAGAGAGUCAUAUUUGUGAAGGAUUUUGGAUAAGUAAAGACGCUUCUAAGUUAAUGCUGUAGAGAUAAGGACUACAGGAACCACAGUGGAAAACCGGACCUGUUCCAAGAAACAGGGUUUUGACUGUCAGUCUCGGCCCUGCCAAUUAUUUUCUGUGUGACCUUGGGCAAGACAGUUUAAUUAAAUGCUUUGGGUUUAAACUCUUUAAACCUGUCUAAAGCAGUUUCCAAACCUGUCUGUUCAUUAGAAUAAGUCGAAGAUUUAAAAAAAAAUACGCAUGCCGUGCACCCUGUAGAAUGUGCACCUAUGUCACCAAAAGACACGUACAAGAAUGUUUUUCUGUCAAGUGCCAGAGAGCAAAUAUUUGACCACCGUAUGGUCUCCGUUGCAACCCGACUCUGCCAUUGUGGUGUGAAAGCAGCUGUAGACAAUACAGAAGCAAGUGAGCCGGGUCCUGCUUCAAUAAAACUUUAUUUACAAAACAGGAGGUUGACCGCCUACUGCAUAGCGAUGAAAACAAGCUGUAACUACAGGCCAUAACAUAGACGAAUUUCACAAACAUACUGUUAAGUAAGAGAAGCCAGAUACAAAAGAACACACAAUGUGAUCCCAUUCAUAUGAAUCUGCCAUAAUAGGCAAAAGAGGGCACCUGGGUGGCUCCGUGGGUUAAGCAACAGACUCUUGAUUUCGUCUCAUGUCAGGAUUUCACUGUUGGUGAGCUCGAGCCCUGCAGUGGGUUCUGCGCUGACACCACAGGGUCUGCUUGGGAUUCUCUCUUUCCCUCCCUCUCGAAAUAAAUAAAUACACUUAGCAAAAGUAAGCGAUGAUGUUAGAAGUCGGAAUAUAGUCGUUAUCUUGGGAGAGUGGAAACUAGUUCAAGCAAUGACCAGUAGUGAUUGUCUUCUGGACUGGGUUGCUCUAUUACUGGAUUUGAGACUCUGUUCGCUUUGUGAAAAUUAAUUGUACCAUAUGCUUAACAAUAUUUACCUUUUUUUUUUUUCUGGCAUAAGCUUUACUUCAGUGAAAAGGUUACACACAAAGUAGGUAUUUCAGGGUCUCCCUGUAAGAGUCUGGGACAGUCGGGCGGAGAUUUGGCCGGAAAUCUAUCCUAAUCCAGCCCUGAAGAGGUAAGUGACCUGCGCGAGGUGACAUUAUCGGCAGAGCCGACACAGAGCGAGAUCUUAGCCAUUUCGGGCGUGGGCUGAGUCAGUUCUGCAGAAAGAGAGGACACCGCACCUGUUCUUGAGAAUGGACUGAUAAUUAGCUAAAGGAAGCCAACCUUACCCUCCGGACUUCAACCUGAAGUGGUUUUUGCACCUGAAUAUUCUCAUCGGCUUCUGCCACCUGGACAAUAUCCAGUUCAGAGCUUCAGGGACCAGCAGCAUUUCUGGGAAACUGCCAGAAGGCUUUCAGAACUCCGCAUGAGCACAGCAGCCAGCGUUCAAGGUGGAUGAUCUCUGCAUUUUUUCCAUUGCCUGGUGGCUGCUUUUAUAAGGGCACUGUGGUAUAGCAGACACGACCCGAAGUUUGUGUUCAAACAGCACUGUGAAUGGGAACUGAGGCCUGGUCAUCAGAAACUCUGGAUUCUAGUGGCUUGGUAAAUCACUUUUAUUCCCUUACCAGUGGAAUGAAGACAUCGGAUCAGACGUUUCACCUCCGUCGCCUCCCCCCCAUGCUACGACUCCUGUUUGACGCUUUACUCCAGACACACCUCCCCUGUGACAGCGCAUUCCACGUGAGCACCCUGGAAGUGGCACUCUUGUCUUGGUUUGAAAAGCAAGGGUUUGGGGCGCCUGGGUGGCUUGGUCGGUUAAGCGUCCGACUUCGGCUCAGGUCAUGAUCUUAUGGCCA